rnacentral:rRNA from 1 species
GAGCUGCUACCAAUAAUUACAUAAACAAAAUUAUUCGCCAGAGCACUACCGGCAAUAGCCUAAAACUCAAAGGACUUGGCGGUGCUUUAUACCCCUCUAGAGGAGCCUGUUCUAUAAUCGAUAAACCCCGAUAAACCUCACCAAUCCUUGCUAAUACAGUCUAUAUACCGCCAUCUUCAGCAAACCCUAAAAAGGAAUAAAAGUAAGCACAAUCAUAAGACAUAAAAACGUUAGGUCAAGGUGUAACCUAUGGAAUGGAAAGAAAUGGGCUACAUUUUCUAUCUUAAGAAAACCCAAUACGAAAGUUGCUAUGAAACUAGCAACCAAAGGAGGAUUUAGUAGUAAACUAAGAAUAGAGUGCUUAGUUGAAUCAGGCCAUGAAGCACGCACACACCGCCGG